rnacentral:rRNA from 1 species
CUCUUACACGGAUAACUGCGGUAAUUCUGGAGCUACUACGUGCAUUAAACGACGACCUUACGGAAGUCGUGCAUUUGUUAGACCAAACCAAUCGGUCUUCGGACCGCCAUUUGGUGAACUCUGAAUAACUUUGCUGAUCGCACAGUCUCGUACUGGCGACAAAUCUUUCAAGUGUCUGCCUUAUCAACUUUCGAUGGUAGUUUAUACGCCUACCAUGGUUGUAACGGGUAACGGAGAAUAAGGGUUCGACUCCGGAGAGGGAGCCUGAGAAACGGCUACCACAUCCAAGGAAGGCAGCAGGCGCGCAAAUUACCCACUCGCAGAACGCGGAGGUAGUGACGAAAAAUAACGAGGUGGCUCUCUACGAGGUCCGCCAUCGGAAUGGGUACAAUUUAAAUCCUUUAACGAGGAUCUAUUGGAGGGCAAGUCUGGUGCCAGCAGCCGCGGUAAUUCCAGCUCCAAUAGCGUAUAUUAAAGUUGUUGCGGUUAAAAAGCUCGUAGUUGGAUCUGCGUCCGGUGAAAGCGGUCGCCCGACGGGUUGUUACUGCUUCUCCCGGACUAAUCAUUCGGUUUUCCCUUGAUGCUCUUCAUUGAGUGUCCUGGGUGACCGGAACUUUUACUUUGAAAAAAUUAGAGUGCUCAAAGCAGGCAUUUCGCCCGAAUAUUCGUGCAUGGAAUAAUGAAAAAGGUCCUUGUAGCCUUUUAUUGGUUAUCGCUAUGAGGAAAUGAUCGACGGGGACA